UAGCAGUUGAGCCAAAUCUGAGGU
rnacentral:piRNA from 1 species